rnacentral:tRNA from 1 species
GAGAAGAUGGUUGAGUGGUUGAAAACAAUGGUUUGCUAAAUCGUCACAUAAAUAUAAUAAUAUUAUGUCAUGGGUUCGAAUCCCAUUCUUCUCA